rnacentral:rRNA from 1 species
UACGGAGGGUGCGAGCGUUAAUCGGAAUAACUGGGCGUAAAGCGCAUGCAGGCGGGUUUUUAAGUCAGGUGUGAAAUCCCCGGGCUUAACCUGGGAAUUGCAUUUCAUACUGGAAGUCUAGAGUACGUUAGGGGGGGGUAGAAUUCCACGUGUAGCGGUGAAAUGCGUAGAGAUGUGGAGAAUACCGAAGGCGAAGGCAGCCCCUUGGGAAUGUACUGACGCUCAUGUGCGAAAGCGUGGGGAGCAAACAGG